CCGGUAGAAGAGAAGCUUGGUUUCUCAUGAGAGCCGGCGGGACGGGUGAGUAAUGCCUAGGAAUCUGCCCUGGUAGUGGGGGAUAAACGUUCGGAAACGGACGCUAAUACCGCAUACGUCCUACGGGAGAAAGCAGGGGACCUUCGGGCCCUUGCGCUAUCAGAUGAGCCUAGGUCGGAUUAGCUAGUUGGUGAGGUAAUGGCUCACCAAGGCGACGAUCCGUAACUGGUCUGAGAGGAUGAUCAGUCACACUGGAACUGAGACACGGUCCAGACUCCUACGGGAGGCAGCAGUGGGGAAUAUUGGACAAUGGGCGAAAGCCUGAUCCAGCCAUGCCGCGUGUGUGAAGAAGGUCUUCGGAUUGUAAAGCACUUUAAGUUGGGAGGAAGGGUUGUAGAUUAAUACUCUGCAAUUUUGACGUUACCGACAGAAUAAGCACCGGCUAACUCUGUGCCAGCAGCCGCGGUAAUACAGAGGGUGCAAGCGUUAAUCGGAAUUACUGGGCGUAAAGCGCGCGUAGGUGGUUCGUUAAGUUGGAUGUGAAAGCCCCGGGCUCAACCUGGGAACUGCAUUCAAAACUGACGAGCUAGAGUAUGGUAGAGGGUGGUGGAAUUUCCUGUGUAGCGGUGAAAUGCGUAGAUAUAGGAAGGAACACCAGUGGCGAAGGCGACCACCUGGACUGAUACUGACACUGAGGUGCGAAAGCGUGGGGAGCAAACAGGAUUAGAUACCCUGGUAGUCCACGCCGUAAACGAUGUCAACGGGGCCGUUGGAAUCCUUGAGAUUUUAGUGGCGCAGCUAACGCAACUAAGUGCACCGGCUUGGGGGAUACCC
rnacentral:rRNA from 1 species